AUCUGGUUAGCUCAGUUGCUAGAGCGCUGCACUGGAGAUGGACAGCUCCCUGGUUCGAUACCAGGACCAGGCA
rnacentral:tRNA from 1 species